GCGGGAGUAGCUCAGGGGUAGAGCUCUGGCUUCCCAAGCCAGUUGUCGCGGGUUCAAAUCCCGUCUUCCGCUCCA
rnacentral:tRNA from 1 species